rnacentral:lncRNA from 1 species
CUGCUUCAUUGGAGUUUGAAAGGAAAUCGACUUGACAAUCUUUGUCAAUUUUUUCAAUAGUGUUUGUGACCACGCCUGAGUCUGCUAUAUUAUUUUUAGCAAAUCUUCGCUUUAAGAAACGUGCAUGCCUGUAAUAAAUUAAAAAAAGUUAAUUUUG